AUAUGUACCUGGCCGGGGAGAUACCACGAUAACAAAGGUGGUUUUCCCAGGCGAGGCUUACCCACUGUACUCCAGAUGUGCUGACCCCUGAGAUUUCCCCAAAUGUAGAAACUUAACUGCAUACUUUGUGGUAAUGGGGGGGGGGAGGUCUGUGUUUGCACGUUCCCUUA
ensembl:snRNA U1 U1 spliceosomal RNA